rnacentral:rRNA from 1 species
UACGGAGGGUGCAAGCGUUAUCCGGAUUCACUGGGUUUAAAGGGUGCGUAGGUGGGCAGGUAAGUCCGUGGUGAAAUCUCUGAGCUUAACUCAGAAACUGCCGUGGAUACUAUCUGUCUUGAAUAUUGUGGAGGUGAGCGGAAUAUGUCAUGUAGCGGUGAAAUGCUUAGAUAUGACAUAGAACACCAAUUGCGAAGGCAGCUGGCUACACAGAUAUUGACGCUGAGGCACGAAAGCGUGGGGAUCAAACAGG